rnacentral:rRNA from 1 species
UACGAAGGGGGCAAGCGUUGUUCGGAAUUACUGGGCGUAAAGGGCGCGUAGGCGGUGCACUAAGUCAGGCGUGAAAGCCCUGGGCUCAACCCGGGAACUGCGCUUGAUACUGGUGCGCUUGAAUCCAGGAGAGGUUGGUGGAAUUCCCAGUGUAGAGGUGAAAUUCGUAGAGAUUGGGAAGAACACCGGUGGCGAAGGCGGCCAACUGGACUGGUAUUGACGCUGAGGCGCGAAAGCGUGGGGAGCAAACAGG